CCUACGGGUGACAGCAGUGAGGAAUAUUGGUCAAUGGGCGCGAGCCUGAACCAGCCAAGUAGCGUGAAGGAUGACUGCCCUACGGGUUGUAAACUUCUUUUAUAAAGGAAUAAAGUGAGGCACGUGUGCCUUUUUGUAUGUACUUUAUGAAUAAGGAUCGGCUAACUCCGUGCCAGCAGCCGCGGUAAUACGGAGGAUCCGAGCGUUAUCCGGAUUUAUUGGGUUUAAGGGGAGCGUGAUGGGUUGUUAAGUCAGUUGUGAAAGUUUGCGGCUCAACCGUGAAAAUGGAAUUGAUACUGGCAGUCUUGAGUGCGGUUAAGGUAGGCGGAAUUCGUGGUGUAGCGGUGAAAUGCUUAGAUAUCACGAAGAACUCCGAUUGCGAAGGCAGCUUACUAAACUGCCACUGACGUUGAUGCUCGAAGGUGUGGGUAUCGAACAGGAUUAGAUACCCGUGUAGUC
rnacentral:rRNA from 1 species